rnacentral:rRNA from 1 species
AGUGAACGCUGGCGGUAGGCCUAACACAUGCAAGUCGAACGGCAGCACAGUAAGAUCUUGCUCGUACGGGUGGCGAGUGGCGGACGGGUGAGGAAUACAUCGGAAUCUACUUUUUCGUGGGGGAUAACGUAGGGAAACUUACGCUAAUACCGCAUACGACCUACGGGUGAAAGCAGGGGAUCUUCGGACCUUGCGCGAUUGAAUGAGCCGAUGUCGGAUUAGCUAGUUGGCGGGGUAAAGGCCCACCAAGGCGACGAUCCGUAGCUGGGCUGAGAGGAUGAUCAGCCACACUGGAACUGAGACACGGUCCAGACUCCUACGGGAGGGAGCAGUGGGGAAUAUUGGACAAUGGGCGCAAGCCUGAUCCAGCCAUACCGCGUGGGUGAAGAAGGCCUUCGGGUUGUAAAGCCCUUUUGUUGGGAAAGAAAAGCAGCAGGUUAAUACCCCGCUGUUCUGACGGUACCCAAAGAAUAAGCACCGGCUAACUUCGUG